ACUGCUGGGACAAUUUCGUCAAAAAUAGAUCGAAGCUAGUCGCGGGGCUUCUGUCUGCUCGCGCCGGAUCUUGGCGGUGGGAUUUGGGUUCAGCCCGGUUGUUUCCAGGGGCCUCAAGGAAACAUUCGGUUCUUCCAGGGGCUGUCGCUGGUGGGAACUUGCUCAACCUCCGUCCCCGUAUGCUCCAAGCCACUGAGGUCUCGAACGAUCUAGCUUGGCUGCGGAUAGUAACGAAGACUGUGUGCUUGAAGGCAACCCGUCGCAAGCAAUGAUCUAUUACUGCUGUUCAGCGUCCUUCAGUCAGUGCCUACGAUACCUGGGGCUUUGGAUUUCUCUCGCGAGUCGUGACGCGGGAAGAAGUCAGAAAAGAAAAGGGAGCAUCCUACACGUGGCAGAGCCAGCUCAUGGAUACGUUUGUUCACCAAUGCCCGCCAUCAAGCCGGUCAGCAAAACACCGUGUUAAUUGGCGGAGAGCGAGAGCCACCGAGCAGUGUCUCAGCCUCGCUUCAACCACUGGAGGGAACAGAGGUGGAGGAGCAAACUCUGUCCUCUCGUCAACAAAACAUCCUUGCAUGAGGAGAUGUGGGCCGAUUGCUUGUCGCACAACAAUUGCUGUCGGAUGCAUUCGAGAUUAUUAUUUUCCACGGACAACAAGAAUUGAGUACCGAUGGGUUGACGCCUGACAGCAUCAGAACUCCAUGGAACUGGCACAUUAUCAGAGACUCAGAAUGUUCUCUCUCUUUUCCAAUGUCUACUGCAAACUUCGGCUAUUUCCAUCUUGACUCAGAUCUGGACGAGGGGGUUCCGGGCCUCUUUUGGUGAAGGAACACUCGCCAAAUUGCAUGAUGCUGGGGGAAGGUCGGUUUCUCGACCCAAUCCUGGAACGCCGCGAAGCUAUGACAAGCAACUAGACCUGUUCCUGAACGCCUCUCAGGCACACUUACACUAGUGUCAUAUUUCGGAGGGAUCCCCUGUCGACGCUUGUAUGUCCGAUAAGGUUUGGCAUCUUGAUCAUGGACGAUUGGUUUCCCAUCGUUCCUCAUGGUUCAGGAUGGUGUAUAAAAACGGCCAUUUCUCGCGGGUCAAAGAUGUGGUUGUUGCUCUGUCGAUGUUUCCCCUUCAGGUCCUUCUCUCCUGUUUCUUUCGUCACUCGUUUAUGAAGUGACACUGCCAAUCGUUUGAUGAUCUAUGAUCAUAUCCUAUAUACUUGAUAUUUUUAAUUUAAUUUAAUUUCCCUGACCAUCUUGGUCUCCACCAUCGGUCACAAUGAAGGUUGCGUUUGGCUCUGCGUUGCUGUCGGCUUUUGCCUUGCAGCGUGCUUCCGCUACUUUCAACUUCCCCGGGUUUCCCGGGUUUCCAGGUUUCCCCGGGUUUCCAGGCUUCCCAGGCUUCCCAGGCUUCCCGGGUUCCCCAGGUUCCCCAGACCCUAAUUAUCCCGUCGAGCCAACACCCACGGAUUAUCCUGUCGAGCCAACGCCUACAGAUUAUCCCGUUGAACCUACACCCACGGAUUAUCCCGUUGAACCUACACCCACGGAUUAUCCUGUCGAGCCAACGCCUACAGAUUAUCCCGUUGAACCUACACCCACGGAUUACCCCGUUGAACCUACACCCACGGAUUAUCCCGUUGAACCUACACCCACAGAUUAUCCUGUCGAGCCUACACCAACAGAUUAUCCUGUCGAGCCAACGCCUACAGAUUAUCCCGUUGAACCUACACCCACAGAUUAUCCCGUUGAACCUACACCCACGGAUUAUCCUGUAGAGCCUACACCAACAGAUUAUCCUGUCGAGCCAACGCCUACAGAUUAUCCCGUUGAACCUACACCCACGGAUUACCCCGUCGAGCCAACACCCACGGAUUAUCCUGUUGAACCUACACCCACGGAUUACCCCGUCGAGCCAACACCCACGGAUUACCCCGUUGAACCUACACCCACGGAUUACCCCGUCGAGCCAACACCCACGGAUUACCCCGUUGAACCUACACCCACGGAUUAUCCUGUUGAACCUACACCCACGGAUUACCCUGUGAGCCCUGAGCCAACACCCACGGAUUACCCCGUUGAGCCAACACCAACAGAUUACCCUGUGAGCCCUGAGCCCACUCCGACAGAUUAUCCCGUCAGCCCAGAACCUACUCCCACGGAUUACCCUGUCUCCCCUGCUCCUACAGAUGCUACGGAUUACCCGGUGACCCCCGAGCCUACUCCCACGGAUUACCCUGUCUCCCCUGCUCCUACAGAUGCUACGGAUUACCCGGUGACCCCCGAGCCUACACCCACAGAUUAUCCUGUCUCCCCUGCUCCUACCGAUUCUACGGAUUACCCUGUCUCCCCUGCUCCUACCGAUGCUACGGAUUAUCCUGUCUCCCCUGCUCCUACAGAUGCUACGGAUUACCCUGUGAGCCCCGCUCCUACCGAUGCUACGGAUUAUCCUGUCAGCCCAGCUCCUACCGAUGCUACGGAUUAUCCUGUGAGCCCAGCUCCUACCGAUGCUACGGAUUAUCCUGUGAGCCCAGCUCCUACCGAUGCUACGGAUUAUCCUGUGAGCCCUGCUCCUACCGAUGCUACGGAUUAUCCUGUGAGCCCUGCUCCUACCGAUGCUACGGAUUAUCCUGUCAGCCCCGCUCCUACCGAUGCUACGGAUUAUCCUGCCAGCCCUGCUCCUACCGAUGCCUACCCUGUGUCGACCAUCACCGCAGCACCGAGUUACACUACCUCUACCAUCUACACCACAAUCUGUGAGACGGUCACCAGUUGUCCUCCUUCCGUUGUAUCAUGCCCAGCUGGCGGAUAUCCCGUUGUCGUCACGAGGACCGUUGCUAUAGCAACAACGGUCUGUCCAGUAGAGGCAGAGGCAACAACCCCCCCACAAUCCACCUACACUACCUCCACCGUUUAUACAACAACCUAUGAGACGGUCACCAGCUGCCCUCCUUCUGUCCCGUCAUGUCCAGCUGGCGGGUAUUCCACUGUUAUCACGAAGACCAUCCCUAUCUCAACAACGGUCUACUUGGUGGAAACAGAACCGACAACUCCACCUUACCCGACCCUCCCUAAUCAAGGUUAUGAUACGGCUAUCCCAGCUACUCCAUAUACCUUGAGCACUGCCAUCUACCCAACUGCCACAGUUGGUUCUGAGUCGCCCACGUACUCUGGAGCUGCAGAGCCAUCGGCUAGAGGCUCGACAGCCUUUAUUGCAGCCUUCCUGCUGCUCUCAGGCCUAACGCAGCUCUAAAUAAUGAUGGCAAGCGGAGAAAUGAAUGGCCUGACCGUUACAUUUCAGUGAAUGUACUUAAAGCUACUGCACGUCGUAUUUUUGGAAUCUCUUUCUUUCCUUUAUUAAUUCUAUUUUCUUUCCUAAUUCCUGAAAUUACGUGCGAAUCGUCAUAAUAGGACACAUUCACUUUGGUUUUUGAGUGCAACAAGUUGGAGAAAUAUAGAAAUAUUUAUAUUGUAGAUACCUGCUUCGCGACGGCUAAGCGAACCCAUGCUUUUUAUUUUGUUAUAAUGUUAAAGAGCAAGUAUGGCGCUUUAGUUAGGCAGCUUAAUUUAAAAAUUGCCCAUAUACCGUCGCAAAACAGCCUUGACAGAUUUGACCUUGCGAAUAUACAGCGUACAUUUGGUCAGUUAUAACUGUCCACAUAUAUCAAGUGAGGUUUGAGAAAGUUUGGGGGAGGAGAAUUGAACUUGGGAAGCUAUUAUGUAUGUUCAUUAACUAUUUCUAAGGAUACUGUGAGGGAUAGAUUCACAUAGGAUGAAGAAAAGGAAGA
rnacentral:sRNA from 2 species